rnacentral:rRNA from 1 species
CUGGCCUCAAAUCAGGUAGGACUACCCGCUGAACUUAAGCAUAUCAAUAAGCGGAGGAAAAGAAACUAACAAGGAUUCCCUUAGUAACGGCGAGUGAACCGGGAAAAGCUCAAAUUUGAAAUCUGGCUGUCUUCGAUAGUCCGAGUUGUAAUCUAUAGAAGCGUUUUCCGUGCUGAACUGUGUAUAAGUGUCUUGGAACAGACUAUCAAAGAGGGUGACAAUCCCGUACUUUACACAAUCAUCAGUGCUCUGUGAUACGUUCUCUACGAGUCGAGUUGUUUGGGAAUGCAGCUCAAAAUGGGUGGUAAAUUCCAUCUAAAGCUAAAUAUUGGCGAGAGACCGAUAGCGAACAAGUACCGUGAGGGAAAGAUGAAAAGCACUUUGGAAAGAGAGUUAAACAGUACGUGAAAUUGUUAAAAGGGAAACGAUUGAAGUCAGUCGUGUUUAUUGGAUUCAGCCGGUCUUCGGUGUACUUCCUUUAAACGGGUCAACAUCAGUUUUGUCCGGUGGAUAAAGGCAGUAGGAAUGUGGCUCCCUCGGGAGUGUUAUAGCCUAUUGUCACAUACACUGGAGGAGACUGAGGACUGCAGCUCGCCUUUUUGGCCGGGGUUCGCCCACGUUCGAGCUAAGGAUG